UACGGAGGGGGCUAGCGUUGCUCGGAAUCACUGGGCGUAAAGCGCGCGUAGGCGGCUUGCUAAGUCAGGGGUGAAAUCCUGGAGCUCAACUCCAGAACUGCCUUUGAUACUGGCGAUCUUGAGUCCGGGAGAGGUGAGUGGAACUGCGAGUGUAGAGGUGAAAUUCGUAGAUAUUCGCAAGAACACCAGUGGCGAAGGCGGCUCACUGGCCCGGUACUGACGCUGAGGUGCGAAAGCGUGGGGAGCAAACAGG
rnacentral:rRNA from 1 species